CGGUAAUUCCAGCUCCAAUAGCGUAUAUUAAAAUUGUUGCGGUUAAAACGCUCGUAGUUGGAUAUUUGUUGAGAACUGCCGGUCUACCCCAGUGGUCAGCACACGGUUUGUUCUCGGCACUUUCCUGGGGAGAGUGUUUGCACUUCAUUGUGUGGCACAUGAUCCAGAACUUUUACUUUGAGGAAAUGAGAGUGUUUCAAGCAGGCGCAUGUCGUGAAUACGUUAGCAUGGAAUAAUAGCAUGGGACCGCGGUCUGAAGCUGUUGGUUUUUGGGCCGUGGUAAUGAAAAUAGGGAUAGUUGGGGGUAUUCGUAUUUAACUGUCAGAGGUGAAAUUCUUGGAUUUUUUAAAGACGGACUACUGCGAAAGCAUCUGCCCAGGAUGUUUUUAUUGAUCAAGAACGAAAGUUAGGGGAUCGAAGACGAUCAGAUACCGUCCUAGUCUUAACCUUAAACCAUGCCGACUAGAGAUUUGGGUCGUCAGAAUCGUGACGCCCUGAGCACCUUAGGGGAAACCAAAGUCUUCGGGUUCCGGGGGGAGUAUGGUCGCAAGGCUGAAACUUAAAGGAAUUGACGGAAGGGCACCACCAGGAGUGGAGCCUGCGGCUUAAUUUGACUCAACACGGGGAAACUUACCAGGUCCGGACAUAGAGAGGAUUGACAGACUGAUAGCUCUUUCUUGAUUCUAUGGGUGGCGGUGCAUGUCCGAUUUUAGUUAGUGGAGUGUUUGGUCAGGUUAAUUCCGUUAACGAACGAGACCUUAACAUAUUAAAUACUUUCCAGAACCAUAUAAUUUCAGGAUGAUAUAUUAGAGGGACUUUGUGUGCGUAACGUGAGGAAGUGCGAGACCAUAUCAGGUAUGUGAUUACAUUAUAUGUUCUGCGCCCCCCGCGCGCUACUCUGAUGCGCUCAACGAUCUCCUAAUCUACUCCGGAAGGACUGGGCAACCUAAUGAAAUCGCAUCGUGAAGGGGAUAGAUUAUUUCAAUUUUUGAUCCUGAGGCGAGGAAUAUGUAUAGUAAGCGUAUCUCGAUCAGAUUGCGCUGAUUACGUCCC
rnacentral:rRNA from 1 species